rfam:Camelus ferus unplaced genomic scaffold scaffold1484, whole genome shotgun sequence.
GAGGGUAUAGCUCAAGUGGUAGAGUGCAUGGUUAGUACACACAAGGUCCUGAGUUCAAUCCCCAGUACCUCCU